rnacentral:rRNA from 1 species
UACGUAGGGCGCAAGUGUUGUCCGGAAUUAUUGGGCGUAAAGAGCUCGUAGGCGGCUUGUCGCGUCGGUUGUGAAAGCCCGGGGCUUAACUCCGGGUCUGCAGUCGAUACGGGCAGGCUAGAGUUCGGUAGGGGAGAUCGGAAUUCCUGGUGUAGCGGUGAAAUGCGUAGAGAUCGGAAGGAACAUCAGUGGCGAAGGCGACUGUCUGGACAGAUACUGACGCUGAGGCGCGAAAGCGUGGGGAGCAAACAGG